GCAGCCCCACAUACAACAGCUCUUGCCACCAGAGCAGUGCAGUGAAGAAUAAGAAUCCCAGGACACGCCAGAUCCGGCCGACAAGAUCCGACGAACUACUCCAAGGCGCCAUAUAGGACAAGACAACACUAAAUCUAAACCUAAAAUACAUAAAACUACGACCGGCACCUCGCCUCAGCUCCUUCCGAGCGGCAUCGCCGCCGAGGGAAACCUCGGUUCGGCCUGGAACUGGGAAAGUCUCACUCAGGAACUGUAGCAGAGAAGGAAAGGGGAGAGGGAGGAGCUACAAGGCAGUAAAAACUUUUUCUUAUUUGCUUUUCUAGCUGUGUCCAUUUCAAUAAUUAAAUGUGUGCGUUAGUUCAUCAAGGAUUAUUCAAAUGGAACCAAGUCUAAGAUUGAAAAUGGUGGCAGUCUGAUCGUGAACUUGGUAUUGAAAAUUGACUGUUUAUCUAGUUCUCAUUCUUUAUAAAUGUAUAGUGACUGUUGAAGUCGACGUGUUAGAUCAAAAACUAUUGAUAUCUGACUACUUGUAACCUUGUCUUGCUGGCAGCAGUUGAUAGAGGAUAUGUACAAUGUCACUCAUGAUCCGCACGGACGAACCAUCCAUGGUGGCAUGAUCAGGUAGCUAAAAGAUCAACUGACGAAAAGCCUCAACGCAUAUAUUGUUCUAUAGGGAUGGUGUGAGUGAAGCUGUGAAGGCCACGUCCGUGGCGUAUGUGCUAUUUUUACCAUCACGAUCCCUUGUGACUUCCAUUUUUGUAAUUGCUCCAUACAGACCUGGAGUUGUAAUAGUUCCACGUUUGUCUUUGUUACUUAUUUGUGUUUGGACUUGAGCUGAGGUGGAUGGUGUACGUGGGGAUUUGGAUGUCAGUCUGAGCUGCUGUGAUAUAUAUGAACUUUUUAGUGUUGAUUAUUUCACAUGUGACCUGAAUAUGUUCGAAAAAGCAAGAUGGUAAAGGCAAAAUUUUGACUUUUUUUUUUGUA